rnacentral:rRNA from 1 species
UGAGGAAUAUUGGUCAAUGGGCGCAAGCCUGAACCAGCCAAGUAGCGUGAGGGAAGACUGCCCUAUGGGUUGUAAACUUCUUUUAUACGGGAAUAAAGUUAGCCACGUGUGGCUUUUUGUAUGUACCGUAUGAAUAAGGAUCGGCUAACUCCGUGCCAGCAGCCGCGGUAAUACGGAGGAUCCGAGCGUUAUCCGGAUUUAUUGGGUUUAAAGGGAGCGUAGGCGGGUUGUUAAGUCAGUUGUGAAAGUUUGCGGCUCAACCGUAAAAUUGCAGUUGAUACUGGCGACCUUGAGUGCAACAGAGGUAGGCGGAAUUCGUGGUGUAGCGGUGAAAUGCUUAGAUAUCACGAAGAACUCCGAUUGCGAAGGCAGCUUACUGGAUUGUAACUGACGCUGAUGCUCGAAAGUGUGGGUAUCAAACAGGAUUAGAUACCCUGGUAGUCCACACGGUAAACGAUGAAUACUCGCUGUUUGCGAUAUACAGCAAGCGGCCAAGCGAAAGCGUUAAGUAUUCCACCUGGGGAGUACGCCGGCAACGGUGAAACUCAAAGGAAUUGACGGGGGCCCGCACAAGCGGAGGAACAUGUGGUUUAAUUCGAUGAUACGCGAGGAACCUUACCCGGGCUUAAAUUGCAGAUGAAUUACGGUGAAAGCCGUAAGCCGCAAGGCAUCUGUGAAGGUGCUGCAUGGUUGUCGUCAGCUCGUGCCGUGAGGUGUCGGCUUAAGUGCCAUAACGAGCGCAACCCUUGUUGUCAGUUACUAACAGGUUCCGCUGAGGACUCUGACAAGACUGCCAUCGUAAGAUGUGAGGAAGGUGGGGAUGACGUCAAAUCAGCACGGCCCUUACGUCCGGGGCUACACACGUGUUACAAUGGGGGGUACAGAGGGCCGCUACCACGCGAGUGGAUGCCAAUCCCAAAAACCUCUCUCAGUUCGGAUCGGAGUCUGCAACUCGACUCCGUGAAGCUGGAUUCGCUAGUAAUCGCGCAUCAGCCAUGGCGCGGUGAAUACGUUCCC